rfam:Marine metagenome HOTS_Contig29002, whole genome shotgun sequence.
CGCCCAACCGAGUGCCCGAGGUGUGCGGGAAGGCGGCAGUCAGCCGAGGCCAUAGUAGCUGCUUGCGCACAGCGGCGAAGGGC